rnacentral:rRNA from 1 species
UACGUAGGGUGCAAGCGUUAAUCGGAAUUACUGGGCGUAAAGGGCGCGUAGGCGGCCACCGCAAGUCGACUGUGAAAUCUCCGGGCUUAACCCGGAAAGGUCAGCCGAUACUGCGGGGCUAGAGUGCAGAAGGGGCAACUGGAAUUCUCGGUGUAGCGGUGAAAUGCGUAGAUAUCGAGAGGAACACCUGCGGCGAAGGCGGGAUGCUGGGCUGACACGUGACGCUGAGGCGCGAAAGCUAGGGGAGCGAACGGG